CCGAAUGGGGAAACCCAGUGUGAUUCGUCACACUAUCAUUAACUGAAUCCAUAGGUUAAUGAGGCGAACCGGGGGAACUGAAACAUCUAAGUACCCCGAGGAAAAGAAAUCAACCGAGAUUCCCCCAGUAGCGGCGAGCGAACGGGGAGGAGCCCAGAGCCUGAAUCAGCAUGUGUGUUAGUGGAAGCGUCUGGAAAGGCGCGCGAUACAGGGUGACAGCCCCGUACACAAAAGCGCAUGUGCUGUGAGCUCGAUGAGUAGGGCGGGACACGUGGUAUCCUGUCUGAAUAUGGGGGGACCAUCCUCCAAGGCUAAAUACUCCUGACUGACCGAUAGUGAACCAGUACCGUGAGGGAAAGGCGAAAAGAACCCCGGCGAGGGGAGUGAAAAAGAACCUGAAACCGUGUACGUACAAGCAGUGGGAGCACAGGUUUACCUGUGUGACUGCGUACCUUUUGUAUAAUGGGUCAGCGACUUAUAUUCUGUAGCAAGGUUAACCGAAUAGGGGAGCCGGAGGGAAACCGAGUCUUAAUUGGGCGUUAAGUUGCAGGGUAUAGACCCGAAACCCGGUGAUCUAGCCAUGGGCAGGUUGAAGGUUGGGUAACACUAACUGGAGGACCGAACCGACUAAUGUUGAAAAAUUAGCGGAUGACCUGUGGCUGGGGGUGAAAGGCCAAUCAAACCGGGAGAUAGCUGGUUCUCCCCGAAAGCUAUUUAGGUAGCGCCUCGUGAAUUCAUCUCCGGGGGUAGAGCACUGUUUCGGCUAGGGGGCCAUCCCGGCUUACCAACCCGAUGCAAACUGCGAAUACCGGAGAAUGUUAUCACGGGAGACACACGGCGGGUGCUAACGUCCGUCGUGAAGAGGGAAACAACCCAGACCGCCAGCUAAGGUCCCAAAGUCAUGGUUAAGUGGGAAACGAUGUGGGAAGGCCCAGACAGCCAGGAUGUUGGCUUAGAAGCAGCCAUCAUUUAAAGAAAGCGUAAUAGCUCACUGGUCGAGUCGGCCUGCGCGGAAGAUGUAACGGGGCUAAACCAUGCACCGAAGCUGCGGCAGCGANNUGCUGGAGGUAUCAGAAGUGCGAAUGCUGACAUAAGUAACGAUAAAGCGGGUGAAAAGCCCGCUCGCCGGAAGACCAAGGGUUCCUGUCCAACGUUAAUCGGGGCAGGGUGAGUCGACCCCUAAGGCGAGGCCGAAAGGCGUAGUCGAUGGGAAACGGGUUAAUAUUCCCGUACUUGGUGUUACUGCGAAGGGGGGACGGAGAAGGCUAUGUUGGCCGGGCGACGGUUGUCCCGGUUUAAGCGUGUAGGUGUGUGUUCCAGGUAAAUCCGGUUCACUUUAACACUGAGGCGUGACGACGAGGCACUACGGUGCUGAAGCAACAAAUGCCCUGCUUCCAGGAAAAGCCUCUAAGCAUCAGGUAACACGAAAUCGUACCCCAAACCGACACAGGUGGUCAGGUAGAGAAUACCAAGGCGCUUGAGAGAACUCGGGUGAAGGAACUAGGCAAAAUGGUGCCGUAACUUCGGGAGAAGGCACGCUGACACGUAGGUGAAGUGAUUUACUCAUGGAGCUGAAGUCAGUCGAAGAUACCAGCUGGCUGCAACUGUUUAUUAAAAACACAGCACUGUGCAAACACGAAAGUGGACGUAUACGGUGUGACGCCUGCCCGGUGCCGGAAGGUUAAUUGAUGGGGUCAGCGCAAGCGAAGCUCCUGAUCGAAGCCCCGGUAAACGGCGGCCGUAACUAUAACGGUCCUAAGGUAGCGAAAUUCCUUGUCGGGUAAGUUCCGACCUGCACGAAUGGCGUAAUGAUGGCCAGGCUGUCUCCACCCGAGACUCAGUGAAAUUGAACUCGCUGUGAAGAUGCAGUGUACCCGCGGCAAGACGGAAAGACCCCGUGAACCUUUACUAUAGCUUGACACUGAACAUUGAGCCUUGAUGUGUAGGAUAGGUGGGAGGCUUUGAAGUGUGGACGCCAGUCUGCAUGGAGCCGACCUUGAAAUACCACCCUUUAAUGUUUGAUGUUCUAACGUGGACCCGUAAUCCGGGUUGCGGACAGUGUCUGGUGGGUAGUUUGACUGGGGCGGUCUCCUCCUAAAGAGUAACGGAGGAGCACGAAGGUUGGCUAAUCCUGGUCGGACAUCAGGAGGUUAGUGCAAUGGCAUAAGCCAGCUUGACUGCGAGCGUGACGGCGCGAGCAGGUGCGAAAGCAGGUCAUAGUGAUCCGGUGGUUCUGAAUGGAAGGGCCAUCGCUCAACGGAUAAAAGGUACUCCGGGGAUAACAGGCUGAUACCGCCCAAGAGUUCAUAUCGACGGCGGUGUUUGGCACCUCGAUGUCGGCUCAUCACAUCCUGGGGCUGAAGUAGGUCCCAAGGGUAUGGCUGUUCGCCAUUUAAAGUGGUACGCGAGCUGGGUUUAGAACGUCGUGAGACAGUUCGGUCCCUAUCUGCCGUGGGCGCUGGAGAACUGAGGGGGGCUGCUCCUAGUACGAGAGGACCGGAGUGGACGCAUCACUGGUGUUCGGGUUGUCAUGCCAAUGGCACUGCCCGGUAGCUAAAUGCGGAAGAGAUAAGUGCUGAAAGCAUCUAAGCACGAAACUUGCCCCGAGAUGAGUUCUCCCUGAGACUUAGAGUCUCCUGAAGGAACGUUGAAGACGACGACGUUGAUAGGCCGGGUGUGUAAGCGCAGCGAUGCGUUGAGCUAACCGGUACUAAUGAACCGUGAGGCUUAACCUUACAACGCCGAAG
rnacentral:rRNA from 1 species